AAAAAAAAUUCAUUUAGUUUGCAUCUUUGGCAUUUCUAGGAGAGUCUAGAGCAUAUAGGUUGCAUUUACUUGCAUUGGGAGCAAUGAUUUUAAAUGCCUUGUAAAGAACACUACGUUGCACCUGAGUAGCUUUUGCACCUCUCAAAAAGACUUGUAUGUUUCGAGCCUUGAAAACUCUUCCUGAAACUUGUUGAUUGCUGAAACUCAGUCUUUGAAGCCAACUACAACCUUAUUUGAACUAAACGAACUUAAUGCUUCUUGCUCAUGGUCCCUUGUGUACUGAGUCAUGGCUAUACACACCUGAGUUGUCACAUCCUUUAUGCCAAUCUUAUUCUGACAAACUCUAGUGGUAGACCACUCCCAAAACCUUUCCCUCCUUUUAAGCUUUCAUUGUUUGAUGAGUGAGGCCUUCUUCGGAAAGUCUUACAUGUGCAUAAUGUUGAGAGUAUCGGGAACGAC
rnacentral:lncRNA from 1 species